CAUGGAGGGUGAGAAUCCCGUUCAUGGUUAAUCUUAAGGAAGCUCUACGAUACGUUUUCCAAGAGUCGAGUUGUUUGGGAUUGCAGCUCAAAAUGGGAGGUAAAUUUCUCCUAAGGCUAAAUAUUGGCGAGAGACCGAUAGCGAACAAGUACCGUGAGGGAAAGAUGAAAAGAACUUUGAAAAGAGAGUUAAACAGUACGUGAAAUUGUUGAAAGGGAAACGAUUGAAGUCAGUCAUACCAACGGGAAAUCAACCUUUUGAGCUUGGUUUCGUGGGUUUUGAAGAGUUUCAAAGCCUUCGGAUUCGCGAGAUUGGGAUCUCUCGGUGUAAUUUCUCGUACGGUUAGUCAACAUCGGUUUUGAAUGUCAUAAAAUGACUGGAGGAAUGUAGCUUCGAUCUCGUAUUGAAGUGUUAUAGCCUUUGGUAGAUGUGAUGUUUGAGACCGAGGAUUGCAACGGGUACCCUUCAGGGCUAUUCGUCUGAUCUCUGAUACGUUGCCUUGAUGUUGAAAGCUUGCUUAUGAUGUUAGGGUAUUACGGUCAAAAGGUUAGAACGGAUUAAAUUCGUUAAGGAUGUUGACGUAAUGG
rnacentral:rRNA from 1 species